rnacentral:rRNA from 1 species
GAUGAACGCUGGCGGCGUGCCUAAUACAUGCAAGUCGAGCGAACGGACGAGAAGCUUGCUUCUCUGAUGUUAGCGGCGGACGGGUGAGUAACACGUGGAUAACCUACCUAUAAGACUGGGAUAACUUCGGGAAACCGGAGCUAAUACCGGAUAAUAUUUUGAACCGCAUGGUUCAAAAGUGAAAGACGGUCUUGCUGUCACUUAUAGAUGGAUCCGCGCUGCAUUAGCUAGUUGGUAAGGUAACGGCUUACCAAGGCAACGAUGCAUAGCCGACCUGAGAGGGUGAUCGGCCACACUGGAACUGAGACACGGUCCAGACUCCUACGGGAGGCAGCAGUAGGGAAUCUUCCGCAAUGGGCGAAAGCCUGACGGAGCAACGCCGCGUGAGUGAUGAAGGUCUUCGGAUCGUAAAACUCUGUUAUUAGGGAAGAACAUAUGUGUAAGUAACUGUGCACAUCUUGACGGUACCUAAUCAGAAAGCCACGGCUAACUACGUGCCAGCAGCCGCGGUAAUACGUAGGUGGCAAGCGUUAUCCGGAAUUAUUGGGCGUAAAGCGCGCGUAGGCGGUUUUUUAAGUCUGAUGUGAAAGCCCACGGCUCAACCGUGGAGGGUCAUUGGAAACUGGAAAACUUGAGUGCAGAAGAGGAAAGUGGAAUUCCAUGUGUAGCGGUGAAAUGCGCAGAGAUAUGGAGGAACACCAGUGGCGAAGGCGACUUUCUGGUCUGUAACUGACGCUGAUGUGCGAAAGCGUGGGGAUCAAACAGGAUUAGAUACCCUGGUAGUCCACGCCGUAAACGAUGAGUGCUAAGUGUUAGGGGGUUUCCGCCCCUUAGUGCUGCAGCUAACGCAUUAAGCACUCCGCCUGGGGAGUACGACCGCAAGGUUGAAACUCAAAGGAAUUGACGGGGACCCGCACAAGCGGUGGAGCAUGUGGUUUAAUUCGAAGCAACGCGAAGAACCUUACCAAAUCUUGACAUCCUUUGACAACUCUAGAGAUAGAGCUUUCCCCUUCGGGGGACAGAGUGACAGGUGGUGCAUGGUUGUCGUCAGCUCGUGUCGUGAGAUGUUGGGUUAAGUCCCGCAACGAGCGCAACCCUUAAGCUUAGUUGCCAUCAUUAAGUUGGGCACUCUAAGUUGACUGCCGGUGACAAACCGGAGGAAGGUGGGGAUGACGUCAAAUCAUCAUGCCCCUUAUGAUUUGGGCUACACACGUGCUACAAUGGACAAUACAAAGGGCAGCGAAACCGCGAGGUCAAGCAAAUCCCAUAAAGUUGUUCUCAGUUCGGAUUGUAGUCUGCAACUCGACUACAUGAAGCUGGAAUCGCUAGUAAUCGUAGAUCAGCAUGCUACGGUGAAUACGUUCCCGGGUCU